rnacentral:rRNA from 1 species
GACGAACGCUGGCGGCGUGCUUAACACAUGCAAGUCGAACGGAAAGGCCCUGCUUUUGUGGGGUGCUCGAGUGGCGAACGGGUGAGUAACACGUGAGUAACCUGCCUUUGACUUUGGGAUAACUUCAGGAAACUGGGGCUAAUACCGGAUAGGAGCUCCUGCUGCAUGGUGGGGGUUGGAAAGUUUCGGCGGUUGGGGAUGGACUCGCGGCUUAUCAGCUUGUUGGUGGGUUAGUGGCUUACCAAGGCUUUGACGGGUAGCCGGCCUGGGAGGGUGACCGGGGACAUUGGGACUGAGAUAGGGCCCAGACGCCUACGGGAGGCAGAAGUGGGGAAUAUUGCACAAUGGGCGGAAGCCUGAUGCAGCAACGCCGCGUGCGGGAUGACGGCCUUCGGGUUGUAAACCGCUGUCGCCUGUGACGAAGCGUGAGUGACGGUAAUGGGUAAAGAAGCACCGGCUAACUACGUG